AGUGUAGCAGCUGAUGGCAAUUCAGGUGGCACAAAACAUCCUCUGCAGCUCAAGGCACUUCCAAGCACCCUGCCAGCAUUUUGUCCUAAGUCUGACGUUAUCUUUACUUCCUUGACUCACUUUGUGGCCAAUGUACAUAAUUCCUUCUGUUACCCACUUGCAAAAUCUGAUUAUGUUGUUUGCUUUCACAAAGAUCUUUCUGAGGACUUCUACGUAUAUGCUGAUCACUUCAAGCUCUCUGGAAAAGCAGUAUUUGUAUGUAAAAGAAGAAAGACUGAAAGCACUGGUGGCAACAGCCUUCUCAAAUUCAGUGGGUAAAUGCCUACAACAAAAUAUUUCAGCAAAACCGAACAAACUGAAGGUCUGUGCAGGAGAGUUCAGAAACAUGGGCUCAGUCGUGCAUUUGUGAAGGUGAUUACGAUCUGUCAUUUGAUCCUUCUGCCAAAGAAUUGCAUGACCUGCUUCCAAGAGCUGUGCAUCUUCCAUGUUUGCGAUGGAACAUUUCCAAAGGUGAAGGAGAGGAAUGACAAUGCCAGAGAGAUCUAUCUGCUGGGUGCUGAAGGCAGUCUUCGAAAAACAGAAGUGCAGACCAAGGUCAUAACCUACAUAAUGACCUGAAGUUGCACCACAGUGCUUUGAAAUAGCUGGAGCUUAGAAUUCCAUACCAUGGGAAUGAACUCUUUUGCCAUUAAACAAUUUUUGAGGAAAUCAAUACAACUCAAGGGAAGCUACAAGCUGCAAUAACUCUGGAAAUUGUACGUUUUCAUGGUGCUGGAUUUUACAUUGAAUAAAUUACUAACCUCUACCAAUAACUGUAUUGUGUAGUAUCUUCCACGCUACUCUCAGAUUUUUUUUCAAUUGUGUUACAAAUUCCAUAGCUGGAGGGUAUAGGUGUUUUUGCUUCAGGUUAAUUAAUGGUGGAAAAAUCUAAAAUAAGAAUUUAUAUUUAAAUGUGAACUUUGUCUGCACAUAGUUUAGUACACAUUAGUAGUGUAGUACAGUAAAAUCUACAUAAAGAAGAUAUUCAGUUCAGAAGCUAUUUUGCCACUUAUGGUAUUUACAUAGCAACAUUAAUAAUAUGUAGCUCUAUCUGUUCUGUUUGAGAGACAAGAUGGAUUUCAAGCUUCAAAGUUAUUACUCUUAAGAGUUUAUACUAAAAGUGACACAGGCACUAUGUCUCUUCAUAAAGAUAUGUUUUUAAUCGCAGAACCCCAAAACAGCUACAAGUAAAAGUGUCCUUAUAUGCAAACAUACAUAAUUAAUGACUGGAUAAAGCAUAAUCAUUCAAAAUUUUAUCCUCAGAGGAAAAACACUGAGAAAGCAUUAGAGAAAUAAAAAGGAAAUAAAGCAUCCUCUGUAGUUUACAUAGUGGUUUUAUACCACUAUGCCAAAGAUGCUUAUAUACUUAGAAAAUUACUAACAUGCCCUUUACAUCUAAUUCCCCAAUUUUACUUCUGUCUGUGCUCAGGGCAACUAAAAGUCACAGUCGCUACCAGCUGUUUUGGAGUUAAUAUAAGUUUAUUUAAUUUGAUAAAGCCCCCAGGAAACAUUUGUUACUGAUUACACGUUGAUGCUCAAGUUAUCUUUGGUUACCUACCUGUGGAUGAAAUCUCUGAAAUACGUACGAAGAAUUCAGACUUAAUCUCUAAUCCUCAACACCUGCAGUCUUCUGGCAUCCCAUACUGCAAAGAGGUUUCUAAGGAUCAAAGUUAUUCAGUGUACAGGGUUUUACACUACAAUCAGGAGGACAAGGAAUCUCUUCUUGAUCUUACCAAUAGCUUGAUGAAAAUCAGUGAUUCAGUUCCAGUGUGUAAGAAGCAAGCAAUGUUUACUUGAUUUUGUAAAAUACCUUGGUGCUGAGAAAUAAGGAACAUACAAGCCUGGUCUAAAGAAUGGAGACACCUCUGUAAACACAGAAGCAGAUAAGAGGCAGUAUUACUACAGAAACUUUCUGGUAAUUCCAGUAAAGCACAAAGGUGUGCACUGCUCACUCUCCUUGAUCUAGGUUGUGUGGUAUGGAGGCAUCUGACAGACAUGCCACACCAGCACAGACAGUACAGCCAGCAGAGGGUGAGAGCUGUGUGCAGGGAGAUGAGAGUGCAGGAACACUGGGAGGUGAAUCCUCUGCAGAAGAAUUGCUGAGUUCUGGAGAAGGAAGGCAUGACAACCCAUCUAGUUUGGUCAAAAGACACCAGUCAUGAAUAAACUUGGCAUCUAAUGGCCUGGUGAGCCAGUCCAAUGGCCAGCAAGAUUCCUCAGCGUGAAAAAAAUCUUGUAAUAAUCUACCUAUCAAUGAUGACAGAAGGGAGCUGAAAGAAUUAAGUCUAAUUAACAUAAAUCCAACAGUACUGCUGACAGGAUCAAAGGUCAUAUCACUAUUAUGAACAGUGAAAUUAAGAAGAAGAAAAAAAAAACCUCACGAAGAUGAAACUGCCUGAAGUAUUCAGUGUCUUGAAUAAUGAACUGAAAUGCUGAGAAGUUAGAUAUGAAUCCACAAGAUAUUAGAGUAAAAACCUAUGCUUUGCUUUAGCAUACCCUUCAGUGAUGACUACUGAAAAUUUUCAGUGAAGCCUGUAAGAUUUGGUACUGCCUUCUUUUCUAUCUUUUCACCUUUCCUUUUUCUCACUUUAAUAAAUUUUGAGAGACAGAAUGAGUGUACUGAGGUGAAUGAUAAAAGGUCCCAGCCCAGAAAGUGACUACACAAGGCUCCCAGCAGAAUUACAACAAGACUCCAAAUCCUUUUCUUCUGAAAGAUUGUUUCAUGAGAAGUUGGUGCUUUUUCUAAUAAUCUUGCUGCAGAAGUGAUUUCUAGAAUAUUUAUGUCAUGCAAUUUUGUAUUCAUAUGACUUUUGCCUAAAUUUAGUAAACUUUAAAUGUUAUUUCUAUUGUAUAUAUUUUUUCUCAUCGCACAAUCAGUAGGUACACUUGCAAGUUCUGGCACGCAUUUUUUAAUGUUUGCUAUGAAACAAGAAGGCUGACCUGAGAUGUCAAAUGUCAUUCACCAAGAAUAAAGUUAUAUUUACAACA